rnacentral:lncRNA from 1 species
AACCGCGUUCAUUUAGGAGACGUUGUAGAACCGACUAGUUAUUAUAGGGAGAGACGUAAUGGUUGCCUUGUCACCGGCACUGACCGCGUAAGACCCGAGUUCGGGCAGUUGUUUUUGGUUAUGUGUAAGGUAGGCCGUGCAUGCGUCAUAUCUAAAAAGUUGUAAGGUUUCCUUCUCAACAGCAACCUUGUUCGGAAGAGUUCUUUUGGAUCUAAGGAUUUCUAGUUUCUUUUGGUUGCUCUUGGUCAAAACCGUAUGCUUCUCUAUCCGAC